rnacentral:rRNA from 1 species
UAGGGAAUCUUCACAAUGGGCGAAAGCCUGAUGGAGCAACGCCGCGUGCAGGAUGAAGCCUUCGGGUUGUAAACUGCUUUUAUAAGCGAGAAAUAUGAUGGUAACUUAUGAAUAAGGAUCGGCUAACUACGUGCC